rnacentral:rRNA from 1 species
GGGUGCGAUCAUACCAGCAAUAAUGCACCGGAUCCCAUCAGAACUCCGAAGUUAAGCUUGCUUGGGCGAGAGCAGUACUGGAUGGUGACUCUGGAGUCCUGUGUUGCACCCUU